CCUGCCCCAAGAAGCAUUGCAAGUGUGAUUGUUGUGUCACAUGUGCAUCAGUGGGUGGCAGAGGGGGGAGAGGUUAUGUCUACUUAGUGUUCUAACCUACAUGCAUCUCAAUGAUUAAUAGUUUAACAUC